CGGGACGGGUGAGUAACGCGUGGAUAACCUGCCUUACACUGGGGGAUAACACUUAGAAAUAGGUGCUAAUACCGCAUAAGCGCACAGAGCCGCAUGGCUCAGUGUGAAAAACUUCGGUGGUGUAAGAUGGAUCCGCGUCUGAUUAGCUGGUUGGCGGGGUAGAAGCCCACCAAGGCGACGAUCAGUAGCCGGCCUGAGAGGGUGAACGGCCACAUUGGGACUGAGACACGGCCCAAACUCCUACGGAAGGCAGCAG
rnacentral:rRNA from 1 species